rnacentral:rRNA from 1 species
UAGCGAAGGGGGCUAGCGUUGCUCGGAAUCAGCUGGGCGUAAAGGGUGCGUAGGCGGGUCUUUUAAGUCAGGGGUGAAAUCCUGGAGCUCAAACUCCAGAACUGCCUUUGAUACGUGAAGAUCUUGAGUUCGGGAGAGGUGAGUAGGAACUGCGAGUGUAGAGGUGAAAUUCGUAGAUAUUCGGAAGAACACCAGUGGCGAAGGCGACUCACUGGACAUGUAUUGACGCUGAGGUGCGAAAAGCGUUGGGGAGCCAAAC